rnacentral:tRNA from 1 species
GCGAGUAUAGCUCAAGCGGUAGAGCGCAUGCUUAGCAUGCAUGAGGUCCCGGGUUCAACCCCAGUACUUCCU